rnacentral:lncRNA from 1 species
CCGGAGAGUUGGGAGAGGGAAAUUGCAGGCUCAGCUCUCCCCAUCCAGGUGGGACCACUUCUCUGGGCCUUAUGAUGCUGAUGAGUAAAAUGAGAGGGCUGAGCAUGAAGCCUUUAUGUUUCUUGAGGGUAAGACAUCACAACCUCUUGUCCACAGAUCCCUGGUGAGGUUGAUGGGACAGUAGCAGGAAGCUUGUUUUGUGGAUUUGGAAAUGAAAACCCAAGAGAGUCUGAGAAGCCCUAUGUGCCACAAGUCCUCUGUCUGCCCCCGGCCACUGCCAGCAUCACGAGGCCAGCAGGAUCUGACCAGCCGGGUCUGUGUGAGAAAGCUGGACCACCACUGCUGCCGCUGCCCUGGGCACGAGAGCGGUGAGCUGACCCUGGAAAUUGCUUGUGGGUAAAAUCCGAGGGGGGACUGAAGGGAAUCGGGAAUCUGGCUGCAGGGAGCAAUGAGGACCGUAAAGAUGCUGGACCGU